AGCUUGCUAUUUUUAUGAAGAGCGGCGAACGGGUGAGUAACGCGUGGGAAAUCUGCCGAGUAGCGGGGGACAACGUUUGGAAACGAACGCUAAUACCGCAUAACAAUGAGAAUCGCAUGAUUCUUAUUUAAAAGAAGCAAUUGCUUCACUACUUGAUGAUCCCGCGUUGUAUUAGCUAGUUGGUAGUGUAAAGGACUACCAAGGCGAUGAUACAUAGCCGACCUGAGAGGGUGAUCGGCCACACUGGGACUGAGACACGGCCCAGACUCCUACGGGAGGCAGCAGUAGGGAAUCUUCGGCAAUGGGGGCAACCCUGACCGAGCAACGCCGCGUGAGUGAAGAAGGUUUUCGGAUCGUAAAACUCUGUUGUUAGAGAAGAACGUUAAGUAGAGUGGAAAAUUACUUAAGUGACGGUAUCUAACCAGAAAGGGACGGCUAACUACGUGCCAGCAGCCGCGGUAAUACGUAGGUCCCAAGCGUUGUCCGGAUUUAUUGGGCGUAAAGCGAGCGCAGGUGGUUUCUUAAGUCUGAUGUAAAAGGCAGUGGCUCAACCAUUGUGUGCAUUGGAAACUGGGAGACUUGAGUGCAGGAGAGGAGAGUGGAAUUCCAUGGGUA
rnacentral:rRNA from 1 species